UGUCAAAAAAUUCAUCUAUUUUUUCCUGUUAAAAACUGGCGUCAUUGAUAAAAUAAUUAUAAAGUUACACGUGGCAUAUCAUGUGUAUGUGUACUUCAUUCUAAUAUAUAGGGAUCAGUUUUUAACUGAAGAAAUAGAUGUAAUUUUCAAUA
rfam:Gossypium raimondii Chr13_contig_1351, whole genome shotgun sequence.